rnacentral:rRNA from 1 species
GAAAUUUGGAAGUCCAAGAUUCCACUAAAAGUUAAAAUUUCCAUGUGGUAUCUUCGAAGGGGAGUUGUGCUAACGAAAGACAACCUCUCCCGUCGCAACUGGCAAGGAAGCAAGUGUAGUUUUUGUACUCACGAGACAAUCAAACACCUCUUUUUUCGGUGCAAGUUUGCACGCUCUACAUGGUCAGUCAUCCAAAUAGCGUCCAAUUUGUAUGCUCCCACAAGUGUUGCCAAUAUUUUUGGUCAUUGA